CCACACUGGGACUGAGACACGGCCCAGACUCCUACGGGAGGCAGCAGUAGGGAAUCUUCGGCAAUGGGGGCAACCCUGACCGAGCAACGCCGCGUGAGUGAAGAAGGUUUUCGGAUCGUAAAGCUCUGUUGUAAGUCAAGAACGAGUGUGAGAGUGGAAAGUUCACACUGUGACGGUAGCUUACCAGAAAGGGACGGCUAACUACGUGCCAGCAGCCGCGGUAAUACGUAGGUCCCGAGCGUUGUCCGGAUUUAUUGGGCGUAAAGCGAGCGCAGGCGGUUUGAUAAGUCUGAAGUUAAAGGCUGUGGCUCAACCAUAGUUCGCUUUGGAAACUGUCAAACUUGAGUGCAGAAGGGGAGAGUGGAAUUCCAUGUGUAGCGGUGAAAUGCGUAGAUAUAUGGAGGAACACCGGUGGCGAAAGCGGCUCUCUGGUCUGUAACUGACGCUGAGGCUCGAAAGCGUGGGGAGCGAACAGGAUUAGAUACCCUGGUAGUCCACGCCGUAAACGGUGGAUGCUGGAUGUGGGGCCCGUUCCACGGGUUCCGUGUCGGAGCUAACGCGUUAAGCAUCCCGCCUGGGGAGUACGGCCGCAAGGCUAAAACUCAAAGAAAUUGACGGGGGCCCGCACAAGCGGCGGAGCAUGCGGAUUAAUUCGAUGCAACGCGAAGAACCUUACCUGGGCUUGACAUGUUCCCGACGGUCGUAGAGAUACGGCUUCCCUUCGGGGCGGGUUCACAGGUGGUGCAUGGUCGUCGUCAGCUCGUGUCGUGAGAUGUUGGGUUAAGUCCCGCAACGAGCGCAACCCUCGCCCCGUGUUGCCAGCGGAUUAUGCCGGGAACUCACGGGGGACCGCCGGGGUUAACUCGGAGGAAGGUGGGGAUGACGUCAGAUCAUCAUGCCCCUUACGUCCAGGGCUUCACGCAUGCUACAAUGGCCGGUACAACGGGAUGCGACGCGGCGACGCGGAGCGGAUCCCUGAAAACCGGUCUCAGUUCGGAUCGCAGUCUGCAACUCGACUGCGUGAAGGCGGAGUCGCUAGUAAUCGCGAAUCAGCAACGUCGCGGUGAAUGCGUUCCCGGGCCUUGUACACACCGCCCGUCAAGUCAUGAAAGUGGGCAGCACCCGAAGCCGGUGGCCUAACCCCUUGUGGGAUGGAGCCGUCUAAGGUGAGGCUCGUGAUUGGGACUAAGUCGUAACAAGGUAGCCGUACCGGAAGGUGCGGCUG
rnacentral:rRNA from 1 species